rfam:Candidatus Falkowbacteria bacterium RIFCSPLOWO2_02_FTLL_45_15 rifcsplowo2_02_scaffold_20145, whole genome shotgun sequence.
UCCGGUGUCUUGAGCGACAGGGACACACCCGUUCCCAUCUCGAACACGGAAGUUAAGCCUGUCAGCGCCGAUGGUACUUGGGCGUAUGCCCUGGGAGAGUAGGCCGAUGCCGGGA